rnacentral:rRNA from 1 species
UACGACUACAUAUCAGGCAUAUCAAUAAGCGGAGGAAAAGAAACUAACAAGGAUUCCCUUAGUAACGGCGAGUGAAGCGGGAAGAGCUCAAGUUUGAAAUCUUCAAGGUUUACCUUGACGAAUUGUAGUUUAAAGAAGUGUUUUCUGUUGAAGUUUUGGUAAAAGUUCUUUGGAAUAGGACAUCAUAGAGGGUGAGAAUCCCGUAUUUGACCAUUAUUUUCAGCUGUGUGAUACACUUUCAAAGAGUCGGAUUGUUUGGGAAUGCAGUCCAAAAUGGGUGGUAAAUUUCAUCUAAAGCUAAAUAUUGGCGAGAGACCGAUAGCGAACAAGUACCGUGAGGGAAAGAUGAAAAGAACUUUGAAAAGAGAGUUAAACAGUACGUGAAAUUGUCAAAAGGGAAGCGUUUGACACCAGUGUUGUUUUCUCGAAAAUCAAUUAAAAAGAGUUGGAUUUUGUGUUGUAUUGACCUUAACAGCUUGCUUCACUCUUUUCCAGCUUUUUUUAAUGCACUUUUCGUUUAACAAGUCAACAUCAGUUUCUUUUGUUGUAAAAGGGUCAUUGGAAAGGUGGCUUUCUCUUCGGAGAAAGUGUUUAUAGCCUUUGAUCUCUGCAAUCGGAGAGACUGAGGUCUGCAGCGUAGAUCCUUCGGGGUUAGAUACAUUUGUGCUAAGCUACAGCUUUUCAGUAGACAACUUGUUGACUAUGUUUAGUCUUGUGACUUACCCGCUUAUGCUAUUUUACCUACGCUUAGGAUGUUGAGCGCAUGUCUCUCUCU